GACGAACGCUGGCGGCGCGCCUAACACAUGCAAGUCGAACGGAGUCAAGAGGAGCUUGCUUUUCUUGACUUAGUGGCGAACGGGUGAGUAACGCGUGAGUAACCUGCCCUGGAGUGGGGGACAACAGUUGGAAACGACUGCUAAUACCGCAUAAGCCCACGGAUCCGCAUGGAUCUGCGGGAAAAGGAUUUAUUCGCUUCAGGAUGGACUCGCGUCCAAUUAGCUAGUUGGUGAGGUAACGGCCCACCAAGGCGACGAUUGGUAGCCGGACUGAGAGGUUGAACGGCCACAUUGGGACUGAGACACGGCCCAGACUCCUACGGGAGGCAGCAGUGGGGGAUAUUGCACAAUGGGGGAAACCCUGAUGCAGCGACGCCGCGUGGAGGAAGAAGGUUUUCGGAUUGUAAACUCCUGUCGUUAGGGACGAUAAUGACGGUACCUAACAAGAAAGCACCGGGUAACUACGUG
rnacentral:rRNA from 1 species